UGGCCGUUACUUCGGUGCUGUAGCAGUGACUUCAUUGGGAGCUCGUCUGAGGAAGGAAAGACAUUGUCUUUCGGUUAGGGAAAUCGAACCCAUGUCUCCUGCGUGCGAACGGCGAAGUGACUAGCGGUUGUACCACAGACAUCGCCCGAACAGAGGGAUAGCAAAUAAGUACAAGAAGACCCACCAGUGACAAGAUCCAGACAUCUACAAUAAACGUCUUUUUCGGGGCUGUUGA